rnacentral:rRNA from 1 species
AUGGCGACGAUGUCCCUCGCCGCGGCCUCACCCCUCACCGCCUCCACCCCCCGCGGCCUCGCCGUGCCCGCGCCCCGCGCGCCAUUCCUCGGCCUCCGCGCAUUUGGCGCGUCGGCCACGCGGUUCGCGGGGCUGGCGGCGGCGCCGCGGCCGUCGGGGAGGGGCGAUGCGGCGGUGGUGAGGAUGGCGAAGAGGGAGCAGGAGCUGGAGGAGAUUCGGGCCAUGGAGACGGAGAGUCUGGAGCAGGAGGUGGUGGACCUCAAGGGGGAGCUCUUCCUGCUCCGCCUCAAGCGCUCCGCGCGCCAGGAGUUCAAGUCCAGCGAGUUCGGCCGCAUGCGCAAGCGGGUUGCUCGUCUGCUGACUGUGAGAAGAGAAAGGGAAAUUGAACAAGGAAUCAACAAAAGAAAUUCUAGGAAGCUUGACAGGAAAUGGAAACUGGGUAUUGUGGUUGGACCACCACCAUCUCUAAGGGAGAAGAAGGAGGAGGACUAG